UACCAGCACCCCGAGUGGUCGGGACGAUUAUUGGGCCUAAAGCAUCCGUAGCCGGUUUUACAAGUCCUCCGUUAAAUCCAGCUGCUUAACAGAUGGGCUGCGGAGGAUACUAUAAGACUAGGAGGCAGGAGAGGCAAGCGGUACUCAGUGGGUAGGGGUAAAAUCCGUUGAUCCAUUGAAGACCACCAGUGGCGAAGGCGACUUGCCAGAAUGCGCUCGACGGUGAGGGAUGAAAGCUGGGGGAGCAAACCGG
rnacentral:rRNA from 1 species